rnacentral:tRNA from 1 species
AUAUAUAUAGUAUAAUAAAUUAAUUACAUUUAAUUUCCAAUUAAAUAAUUUUAUAAAUAAUAAAUAUAUAUA